UUUUAUCCUCAAAAUUUCAGAACUAAGUUUUCUUUCGGACAAAAUGAAAAAAUUUUUAGGUUUAGUUAGGCUUGGUGGGGGGGCCGUUACGGAUCAACUAACAAAUGUUGGGACGACAAUGUUGGGUGAUUAUAUUAAAGACAAGAGCAACUGGGAAAGCCCGUUAAAUAUCAAGGAGCGAUACCAAAAUUAUAAGGGGAAUGUACUAUCGUUUUUUGAUAAGAAAGAAUAAAUGCUUGCUGUUACAUCUCUUUAUCAGCUUACUUAAAAAAACAUGAAAAAUCAAAAAAGACUACCACCACGGAAAUGAAGAGACCACUGACGUAUGUAAAUUUCAACAAAUGAGCACUGCUGUCAACUACCCUAGACGUUUCUCUUCACGCCUUUUGUCAAGCCAAUAUUCAGAAGCGACAGAAUGUGGAACUGGUGACGGUUAUAUCGAUUAAAUCAAAUGCAACUUCGAUGGAUUAUGCAUGCAAUCCUACCUACCGGUACGCUUCUUCUCAGUUGUUGCGCUUGGAGUGGUUAUGAUCCAAAAUCGUUUUUACGAAACAGUCACGAAGGUGUCACUAGGCGCAUUUAUAUGUUAGAAGAAAGGCUCUUCAGCAUUGUCUUUCUUACGAAUUCCUUCUCACUGGAACAAUUAAAAGUUGACGAUGAAGUUAACAGUUCUUAUGCUAAUAUCCUACACACAGUCGUCCCAAAUACCUCCACCAAAGAAAUUUAGAGUGUAUUUAUUUUCAUCUUAAAUUUAUUUU